GGUCCCGUAGCUCAGCAGGAUAGAGCAUCAGAUUCCUAAUCUGAGGGUCGCGCGUUCGAAUCGCGCCGGGACCA
rnacentral:tRNA from 1 species